rnacentral:rRNA from 1 species
UACGUAGGGGGCAAGCGUUGUCCGGAUUUACUGGGCGUAAAGCGCGCGUAGGCGGAGAGAUCAGCGUGCCUUGAAAGCCCCCGGCUCAACCGGGGAAGGUGGGUGCGAACUGUCUUUCUUGAGGGCGAUAGAGGGGCGGAAUUCCUGGUGUAGCGGUGAAAUGCGUAGAGAUCAGGAGGAACACCCGUGGCGAAGGCGGGCCCUGGGUCGGACCUGACGCUGAGGCGCGAAAGCGUGGGAGCGAACGGG